rnacentral:tRNA from 1 species
UGCCAGAUAGCUCAGUUGGCAGAGCACCUGAAUAGAAAAAUUCAGGGGUCCUGGGUUUGAAUCUCGGCCUGGUCA